CCAGAAUGUUGGUGAUCCACCAUAGAAAAUCCGCCCAGGAAAGCUGAAGGCACUGAGCCCUGGAUGCCUUAACCCAAGGAACCAUCAACCUACCAGCCAGCUGGACCAAAGCUCAUGCCAGCACCAGCCCCUCUGAAUACCCCACAAUUGCCUUGAGCAAAUGACACCAUGAUCACAAAUGAUUGCUCUGGCUCCUGAAGGUACAGCCUCUGCCAGGGCAGUUUCAAACAUUUUAUACCAGACACAUCGCUACACAAGCUGUCAUGAACUCUAGAUGAUCCUGCAAGCGUUUCCACCCUGGCCAGAGAGGGGAACAACACUUCCCCUUGUGGCCUAGCAGAGAGACUCCCAUGACUAGAGCUAAAGGGACAGUGCUGGCUGGGAUUAUGACAAGCAAAAGUCUUCAUUUGGAUGCAAGGAUAUGAAAAAACAAACUUUGACCCAGAACACUCAUGGGCAUGCGAUUUUGUUAAGGUUGAGAUGAAAGUCAUGUCCCAAGAGUGACUAUUGCUUCUGGCAAUCCCCUGGCCUGGACUGAGAUUCCUUUAUUGAAGACACAUCUGGCCAAUGAAAUGGCUGCUGCAAACCACCACUGGGCUAAGAAGAAAGAACUGAGAUGGGCUGUCAGCUCUAACUCACUGAGGCUAGAGUGAUAAAUUAACAAGGUUGGAAGGUUAAGUGUUUAGUUCAAGGCACAGAAUUUCCAAGGCCACUUAGAAAAUCCCUUACCUCUUGUAAAUGGUUGGCUGCUGUAGCCAAACAUCAUUACUUAAUUACAGUGUAACUUUAUGACCUCACCAAUACUCAGCCAUCAACAUGUAAGAUGAAGAAUGUGACAUCAAGAAUUAGAAGAGAGAUUUUGUACAAUUCCCUUGACUAUAAAUAUUCUCCCUCAUUGAAAGGCUCUUGCCAGCAAAAAGUGACCUUCUGUUACAUGAAACCAGGGUGAGUUUUGACUUGCUUGGAAGCCCUGCAAUGAUUUUAUCUAAUCUCACUGUUUUGUUCGGGCAUGCCACCUCUGCUCGGGCUUGCUUAACCUGGAAACCUUGUUGUGGGAAGACUUGAGGGGACUGGAGGGGCUAUGAUUCUCAUCUUAGACAUGUGUCUGCCACCUAAAUAAAAUGGUCACACCAUUCA